GUGCCAGCAGCCGCGGUAAUACAGAGGGUGCGAACGUUGCUCGGAAUUACUGGGCGUAAAGCGCGUGUAGGCGGUCCGUUAAGUUGGUAGUGAAAUCCCAUGGCUCAACCAUGGAAGUGCUGCCAAAACUGGCGGGCUGGAGUGCCGGAGAGGGUGGCGGAAUUCCCAGUGUAGAGGUGAAAUUCGUAGAUAUUGGGAGGAACACCGGUGGCGAAGGCGGCCACCUGGACGGUAACUGACGCUAAGACGCGAAAGCGUGGGGAGCAAACAGGAUUAGAAACCCCCGUAGUCC
rnacentral:rRNA from 1 species